GGCCAAAGCGGGUGUAGUUUCUCGUUCAUACUUCACGCCAACAGUCUGCCUCUUGACGGCAAGCCACUGCUGGCGAGAUCUGCGAGCGGAGCGGCGUCCGGAGAUGGAGGAUUCCGGUGUCGGAGCGGCGACGCGCGGCCCUUUUGGUUGAGAUUUAAGUCUGAAGCCUAAAGUGAGAGCUUCUUUUCUUUGAACAUGUGGAGAUUUUCUGCUUGGUAACCCGGUAUCGGUGCAUCCUUCCAGGAGUUGAGAUGAGUGGGUUUCAGAAUACGGAGGCAGAGUCUGAAAAAGCCAUCCCUUGGAUAUAUAGGAAGGAUGAUCAAUAUAUUUGACUUAAGUGCCGGAAUGGCAGGAACCAAAAUGCUGCCGGAAAGAGAUCAUAGAAAUGGUUCUCCAGUUCAUAGAAACAACCCUAAUGUCAACGAAGCCGCCACUCCGAGUGCGACUAACACAGAUAACAAACAAAUAACCAGUGUCCUGUACCAGAAUUCUUCAAAAAAGAAAUCUGGUGGAACACCAAUGAAGAUGCUAAUAGCUCAGGAGAUGUCGAAAGAAACAAAGUCCAAGAGGAAACCACAUAGUGUUGUUGCCCGACUAAUGGGCCUUGAUGAUGAUCUGACAACACAAUUGUCGCCAGUGGCUAGUCAAAGAAAGUUGCUAGAGGGUUACCCUCAAACUGCCUCAGCAGGAGUCCAUAGAGGUCAUCUUCAAGAUGAUGUCUUUUGCAAUAAGGAAGUUCCAUGUGAGCUCCAUCAACAUGAUUGUUUGAAGAUGGAACGCAGAUAUGUAUCUGAAGUCUGGAAGCAGCCAUCUCAGAGCAGGAGCAGAAGAUGUGGAGAGACUCAGAAUGACCUAAGAAUGGCUCUUGUCCGUCAAAAGUUCAUGGAAGCAAAGCAUCUAGCCACUGAUGAAAACCUUAUUCACUCCAAGGAAUUUCAGGAUGCGCUAGAGGUUCUGAAUUUAAACAGAGACUUGUUUCUUAAAUUUCUUGAAGAGCCGAAUUCUCUAUUUUCUAAGCAAACAUUUGAUCUUCGCUCUGUCCCUCCACCACCUCAACCAAAUCACAUUACUGUAUUGAAGCCAUCAAAAAAAGUUGAGACGAAGUUUGAAAAAAUGGUGAAGAAGCAGGAAGGUCCAGAGAUUAAGGAGAGUGGAAGGGAAACAAACAAUCACCACUGGAACUCUACCUUCGACCAUUUAAAAGCUGAAAGCUUCUCUCAGGCGACCAGGAUAGUUGUCUUGAAGCCUAGCACAGGAAAUCCUACCAAAGCACCCACUACAACCAUGUCACCUAAGCAGGGUGAUCUGGGAGAUAGUGAAGCCUUCGGACCAAAAUACAUAGAGGAGAGAACUCAGCAGAUGCAUAAGAUUCUAUCUGGUCAUAGGAGGGAUGAGUCUUUGCUAUCUUCUGUUUACUCAAAUAGCUUUGGUGGAGAUGGGAGUUCAUUCAAUCUGUUCGAAACUGACUACAUUGAGGAAGAUGGUGGUGGCUUUAGCGACUCUGAUGUAGCUGCUCCAACGUCACGCCAUUCUUGGGAUAGAUUCAACAGUCCUUGCUCAGUGUCAUCUUUCAGCCGGGUGUCACAUUCACCUGAGUCAUCAGUGAUUAGAGAGGCAAAGAAGCGGCUUUCAGAAAGGUGGGCUUUAGUGACAUCAAAUGGUACAAGCCAAGAGCAAAUGCAUUUACAUAAGAGCUCAAGCACUUUAGGUGAAAUGCUUGCAAUUUCUGAUGUAAAAAGAGAAGAAUGUGUCAAUAGGUAUACAGUCUCAGCCAGCAGAUCAUGUGGAGGAGAUGAUGAAUUGAUGUUACCAGCAUUCUUCUUAUCGGUGGAUGGAAAAAAGAUUUCAGGAGAGCUUUCCCCUGAAAAUUUAUCAAGAUCAAAGUCUGUCCCAGUCUCUUGUUCAGCUUACAAAGACAUUGGCUUGAAAUAUGAAGGUUCCAACACUCAGCUUUGUGAACCCACUGUGUCAGAGGUGUCAAAGACCAAACAUGGUAAAUCAUCUUUCAGAGGAAGAUUCUCUAGCUUUUUCUUUUCUAGGAGCAAGGAAACUAGAAAAAGACCUGUUUCUUCUACCAUGGUGGGCUCUGGUGGUGCUGAUGUGGUAGCAAGCAGAACUGAUGAGAUGCUAAAAUCAGUUCAUGGUAGUUCGUCUGCAAACAGUCAAGUAAAAGAUGAGGAACAAUCUGCCAGUACAGCUUCAAUAUCGGUGACAAAUGUUUCCAAAAAACCCAUGCAAUCAGUUGAAAACUCCAGGACAAGUGACAAAUCUAGUGAGGAGGAGAAACUCAGUCCACGUCAAAAUUACACGAACAACCUGGACCAACCUAGCCCUACUUCAAUUCUGGAUGCACAAUUUGAAGAUGAUGUGAAUGGAAAUCUAUUGCAGACAUCUGAAGCAAAUGCUAGACAACAACUAAUUUCCAGGGCUUCACCUAUAGAGUCAGUUGCUCGUACUUUGUCAUGGGACGACACCCAUCUGGAAAUGCGACUCCCCCAGCCCUCAAGUUUUAAAGUAGCUUUGUCCAAGGCAGAUGGUGCUGACCAAGAUCAUUUUGUAUUUGUUCAGAAAUUGCUAUCUUAUGCUGGCUUGGAGAAAUCUGAUAUGAUGUUCACUGGAUGGCACUCUCCUGAUAGCCCAUUGGAUCCAGUGUUACUUGACAAACUCUUGGGUCUGAAAGAAGAUGAAUCUAAGUGCAUGGAGAAAAGUCCAACCCUGAGGCUCCUAUUUGACUGUGUGAACUUGGCCCUUUUAGAAGUCAGUUGGUCUACCUUAAUGAGUGUAUACCCAUGGAACAGGGCGUCCUGUGGGGCACAGAUUAAUGCUUGUGCAAGUUCUGCCUUGUCAGAGGAAGUGUGGGGUCUCGUGAGGGAUUGGUCUUCUGGCAACCGGACGGUGGUGUUUACUGAGAAUGACAUUGGUAGUCUAGUUGUGGAUAGAGUAUUGAGGACUGAGGCGGGAGGAAACAGAUGGGUUGAAUUGAACAGGAUAGUAGAGGAGAUCGCUAAAGAAAUAACUGGUGAUGUAUUGAAGGAUUUGGUUGGAGAGGCUUUUUCAGAUCUUGCUGCUGCAUGUAUCUACUGAUGCCUUCUUUUCCCUCUCAGCCUCUUCUACUUCGCUUUGUUGUUUUUGCCGCAGCGUUCAGAUUUCUACCAUGCCACAGUAGCAUGAUAUAGCUUCAACUCUGUUACUUAUGUCAAUCUCUGUACCUUCCAAGUACUGAGCUGGCCACUUGAGAAAAUUGGCUGGAAUGGAUGCCCGGUCAAGCCUGGGAAAUUUCCCGAGAUGCCACCAUUUGGAACCACGACGUGCUCCUCCAAGGAUUGGCCUAAGGGGUUAUUAUAUAUGAGGCCCAUGGAGGACCUCAUUACUGACGCCCAUAAGUCUUUCGCUAUGAGACACCAUUUGAUCAGGUCAAAGAAAAGGACAACUUCACAGUGAGGGCUGCAGAGAGAGAUUGCUAAUGAGGUCGAGAGAAUCUUGAGUCUAAAAGAUGGAACUAGUAACGGAGCAUUGUCGUUUGAUGGAUUUGGCCAAUCGACGAACAAGGUGACAUCGAGGCAUUGUUGAGGUCGGACGUGGAGGUAGCUUCCCUUCACAUGGAAAACAUCAGUCGAUAGCAGGCAGUGGAGCAAGCAACGAAGCAGCUCUAAGCAGAAGAGGAGAGGAGGCCAGAGUACUAGGUAGGCCAUUGGGAUCGCCACCUUUAACCCAAGCAACACUCCUUAACAGUUGGCACAUUGGGUAUCAACGUACGAUAUCCCAAACGUGCUACGAUCAUCUCGGCCUCAAGCUCCCAAAAGGCCACAACAACAAGCAGCCAACUAAUACGAAGGUUGCUUUCGUCA